CCUACGGGUGGCAGCAGUGGGGGAUAUUGCACAAUGGGCGGAACCCUGAUGCAGCGACGCCGCGUGGGUGAAGAAGCGCCUCGGCGCGUAAAGCUCUGUCAGCAGGGAAGAAAAUGACGGUACCUGAAGAAGAAGCCCCGGCUAACUACGUGCCAGCAGCCGCGGCAAUACGUAGGGGGCAAGCGUUAUCCGGAUUUACUGGGUGGAAAGGGGGCGGAGGCGGGGAUGCAAGCCAGGAGUGAAAGCCCGGGGGCCAACCCCGGGACUGCUGUUGGAACUGGGUGGCUGGAGUGCAGGAGGGGCAGGCGGAAUGCCUGGUGUAGCGGUGAAAUGCGUAGAGAUCAGGAGGAAAACCGAUGGCGAAGGCAGCCUGCUGGACUGCAACUGACGUUGAGGCCCGAAAGCGUGGGGAGCGAACAGGAUUAGAUACCCUGGUAGUC
rnacentral:rRNA from 1 species